ensembl:lncRNA
GGGAGCGCCGAGGGAGUCGCUCCGCAGCGCAGUCGAGCGCCGCGCCGUCGAUGGCCGGGCGUCCGCCGAGGAGCGGGGCUGCGCGGGGCUGCCGCCUGGGGGCGCGCCGGGGCCCGUCCGUGCCCGUGCCCUCGGGUCCCUCGCGGAGGCCGGAGCGUGACGCUCGGUGAGCUCGGUGAGGUGACGCUGCUGGGGGCCGGGACCGGGCUCCCGCCGAAGCCCCGGGAGGCGACGUGACGCACGGAGCCGCCGCACCGGGGAAGCUGCGGAGGAGGAUGGCAGCGGACAGCUGCAAACCGUGUUGACUGUUUCAGUUCAACGCACCGAGCCAGCGCCCCCCUCGGCUGGGCGCGGAGCGGGGCGCCGGGGACGCGGAGGGGCGCGAAGGGCGGUCGCUCCUGCGGGACCCCGCGGGGCCGAGGGAGUGAAAUCACUGGGGAGCUCCCAUGGACUCCAGUUGUUAAACCGAGGAGGAGCGCUGGCAGGGGACCCCGCCGGGCUGCACGUGGAGCGCAGGACGAGAGCGGGGGAGCAGAAGACAGAGACGCAUCCUCCAGCUGAAGAGGAAAUCACCAAGUGGAUUCAUGGGGAGCCGAUGCCCAGAUGCUCUACUCCAGGUUCCACAGACAGUCUUGUCCGUAUGGAGCCAGGCCUGGCAGAGAAGGACACACCCAGAAAGCCGUGGAUCCUGCUGCCCAGUGGUGGCUGGCCCAUGUACACUUUGAAGUGCAUUUUUUUGACUGAAUUUCAGCAGCAUCAGCUUAGCUCCAUGAGAGGAAGAGAUUCUCCAGAGGAAGGGAGGAAGAGGACCUCUCUCUCUUCGGUGACUUCAGAUGCCUCAACCUGAGCCAUGUGUUCCUGAAGGCAAAAACCAGAAAAAAAUCACCAUAGCAUCGGGUAGAGAGUGGUUUGUUUGUAAGACAGUGGUAGCAGGCACAGAGCGUAUUAAGUUUAGGGGAUCAAAAAUGUCUUCUUGGAGGAGGCAGCUUUUCUGCUGGACUUCGAAGAAUGAAUAGGAAUUCAAUAUCCAGAGAGAGCAGGAUACGGCCAUUUGCCCUAGAGGUUCAUUGUGAUCAGAAACACUACAGUAGGAAGGCCCAGAGUGUUCCAGAAAGUGUGUUACCUCUUCCAGAUCAAGUCUUUAGCUCAAAGAAUUAAUACUUAGUAGAUUAGGACAAGAGUUUUGUGGGGGUUUUUUGUUUAAAUGGGAGAGGAGUUUCUGAAAUCUGACCUCAUAGCAUUUUGCCGAUAUUUUGGUACUAAUCUUGUAUUAGUUUGAUUCCUCUGCUUUCAUUUCUGUGUCCUCUCCCCUAAACACUGAGCUACUGAAAGGCAGGGGUAGUGUUCUACUGAGCCAUUACGCUGAGACCUAGCACAGUUCUUGACACAAUGAACAUGCAACAAAUACUUAAUGAAGAAUGAAUAAAUAAAUAUUGUUGGCCUUCCCUAUUCUUGCUUGUAUGUAGAAAAUAUACACACUUUGUGAAGUGAAGAACCUACAUGCUUGUUUUUAAAAUGUAGAAAAAAAAUCAGAAUCAUUGUCAAGAUUUGCCCAACAUUUAUAAUGACCUUUGCUGAAAAGCAAG